AUACGGAGGAUCCGAGCGUUAUCCGGAUUUAUUGGGUUUAAAGGGUGCGCAGGCGGCCAUUUAAGUCAGCGGUUAAAUCGUGGGGCUCAACCCCAUUCUGCCGUUGAUACUGGGUGGCUUGAUUGCGGUCGAGGUUGGCGGAAUUCGUUGUGUAGCGGUGAAAUGCAUAGAUAUGACGAAGAACACCGAUAGCGUAGGCAGCUGACCAGACCGCAAAUGACGCUCAUGCACGAAAGUGCGGGGAUCGAACAGGAUUAGAUACCCUGGUAGUCCGCACAGUAAACGAUGAAUACUUGUUUUCGGCGAUAUAAUGUCGGAGGCAAAGCGAAAGCGAUAAGUAUUCCACCUGGGGAGUACGCCGGCAACGGUGAAACUCAAAUGAAUUGACGGGG
rnacentral:rRNA from 1 species